rnacentral:rRNA from 1 species
GAUGAACGCUGGCGGCGUGCCUAAUACAUGCAAGUCGAGCGAAAAGACGAGGAGAUUGCUCCUCUGACGUUAGCGGCGAACGGGUGAGUAACACGUGGAUAACCUACCUAUAAGACUGGGAUAACUUCGGGAAACCGGAGCUAAUACCGGAUAAUCUAUUGAACCACAAGGUUAAAUAGUGAAAGACGGUUUUGCUAUAACUUAUAGAUGGACCCGCGCCGCAUUAGCUAGUUGGUAAGGUAACGGCUUACCAAGGCAACGAUGCGUAGCCGAACUGAGAGGUUGAUCGGCCACACUGGAACUGAGACACGGCCCAGACUCCUACGGGAGGCAGCAGUAGGGAAUCUUCCGCAAUGGGCGAAAGCCUGACGGAGCAACGCCGCGUGAGUGAUGAAGGUCUUCGGAUCGUAAAACUCUGUUAUUAGGGAAGAACAAAUGUGUAAGUAACUAUUCACGUCUUGACGGUACCUAAUCAGAAAGCCACGGCUAACUACGUG